AAUGGUGAUAUUGUUGGUUGGU
rnacentral:siRNA from 1 species